rnacentral:snoRNA from 1 species
AUCUUCCAGAUUCCUUUCCCUUCAGAUCUAAACAUUGGGCUGAGUGGUUAAAAAAGCAGGAAACGUAAAAUUCAAGUGGACUUGGAGUAUUUGACGGCAUACACAUUCAUUUCAAACAUUA